CGCUGGCGGAGGCUUAACACAUGCAAGUCGAACGCACCUUCGGGUGAGUGGCAGACGGGUGAGUAACGCGUGGGAACCUUCCCUGUGGUACGGAAUAACUUCGGGAAACCGAAGCUAAUACCGUAUAUCUCCUCCGGGAGAAAGAUUUAUCGCCAUAGGAUGGGCCCGCGUUGGAUUAGCUAGUUGGUAGGGUAAUGGCCUACCAAGGCAACGAUCCAUAGCUGGUCUGAGAGGAUGAUCAGCCACACUGGGACUGAGACACGGCCCAGACUCCUACGGGAGGCAGCAGUGGGGAAUAUUGGACAAUGGGCGCAAGCCUGAUCCAGCCAUGCCGCGUGAGUGAAGAAGGCCUUAGGGUUGUAAAGCUCUUUUGGCGGGGACGAUAAUGACGGUACCCGCAGAAUAAGCCCCGGCUAACUUCGUGCCAGCAGCCGCGGUAAUACGAAGGGGGCUAGCGUUGUUCGGAAUCACUGGGCGUAAAGCGCACGCAGGCGGAUUGAUAAGUCAGGGGUGAAAUCCCGGGGCUCA
rnacentral:rRNA from 1 species